UGGGGGGAGAGAGAAAGAGUCAUUCCGCGGGGCAUCGGAGCCUCCAGCCCUUGAAGGGAAAAGGGCUGCUGUGGCGCCGGCGGGGGCGAGGCCCGGCUUAGGAGGCCGUCCCCGUUGCGGCGAAGGGGGCCUUCCUUCCCUGGCGAACUCCUGCCCGGCUGCCCCCUUCCCCGGCGCAGCGGCGGCUGCACCAUCGCCGGCGCCUCCCCUCAGCUUUCCCAGCCUUCCUCUCCGCGACGAAGGCGCCCGCCUGGGCCUAGCCGCGCCUGGGGGGAAUCCCGCCCGGCUCCGUCUUCCUGCCUUCCUCUCAGGCCCGCCUCGGCCUAGUCCGGGCAAGCCAUGUGAGCGAGUCUCCCUCGCCCGCUGCGUCUCCCUCGGCCCCGGCGGCUGCUCCGGGGAUGCUCUUACUGGCCGUGGGCGACGCCGACGCCGCCUCAGCCGCCGGCCCCAGCCCCGCCAUGGAGCCCCCCAACCCGGCGCUGGUCAUCCGCAUCCGCGUCCCGGACGGCGGCGCCGUGGACUGGACGGUCCACCCGGCGCCUCAGCUGCUCUUCAGGGACGUCCUGGAUGUGAUCAGUCAGGUUCUGCCUGAUGCGACGACAACAGCCUUUGAAUAUGAAGAUGAGGACGGUGAUAGGAUUACUGUUCGAAGUGAUGAAGAAAUGAAAGCGAUGCUGUCCUAUUAUUACACCACAGUCAUGGAACAGGAAGUAAAUGGACAGUUAAUAGUGCCUCUGCAGAUCUAUCCAAGAGCCUGCAAACCUCCAGGGAAACGGAACAUACAUGGCCUGAAGGUAAAUACGCGAGCAGGGUCUGCUAACAAUAGUGGCGCAGCCGUCCCGGACUCCCUUCCAAGCAAUAGAUUGUGCAGUUUGAAGAAGUCUUCUGCAGAACUGAAGAAAAUAUUAGCUAAUGGCCAGAUGAAUGAACAAGACAUACGGUAUCGAGACAUCCUCGGUCAUGGCAAUGGAGGAACCGUCUACAAAGCAAACCAUGUCCCCAGUGGGAAAAUACUAGCCGUAAAGGUGAUCCCUUUAGAUAUUACACUGGAACUUCAAAAGCAGAUUAUGUCGGAGUUAGAAAUUCUUUACAAGUGUGAUUCGUCCUAUAUCAUAGGAUUUUACGGUGCUUUUUUUGUAGAAAACAGGAUUUCCCUUUGUACUGAAUUCAUGGAUGGGGGCUCUUUGGAUGUCUACAGAAAAAUUCCAGAACACGUACUGGGAAGAAUAGCCGUAGCAGUUGUUAAAGGCCUUACAUAUUUAUGGAGUUUAAAAAUUUUACAUAGAGAUGUGAAGCCCUCAAAUAUGUUGGUGAACACAAGAGGCCAAGUCAAGUUAUGUGACUUUGGGGUCAGCACACAGCUGGUGAAUUCCAUAGCCAAGACGUAUGUCGGGACAAAUGCUUAUAUGGCGCCAGAACGCAUUUCAGGAGAGCAGUAUGGGAUUCAUUCUGAUGUUUGGAGCCUAGGGAUUUCCUUCAUGGAGCUUGCUCUCGGGAGGUUCCCGUAUCCUCAGGGGUGGACGCUGAACAUCAGAGAACAUGGUGAGCCAAGUGAGUUCGUGGUACAGAUUCAGAAAAACCAGGGAUCUUUAAUGCCCCUCCAGUUACUCCAGUGCAUUGUUGAUGAGGAAUCGCCUGUCCUUCCGGUUGGGGAGUUCUCAGAGCCGUUUGUACACUUCAUCACUCAAUGCAUGAGAAAGCAGCCAAAGGAACGCCCAGCCCCUGAAGAGUUAAUGAUUAGUCCCUUCUAUAAAAAUAUUGAAGAUGCAAAAAAGAAAGAAAGAUACUAACCUACAGUGUAAUAAAUGCAAAAAUACAGAAAGGAAAGCAUUUCGAAUAACUGUCAAUAAGAAUAAAAGCAGCAGCAGCAACCUUGAAUAAAGCCAACUCUCAUCCAACACCAGACGCCAAGAAAAGCUGUUGCAUAUGAAAAUGUUUUAUCCCAUGGGCCAAAGCCAUGCCAGGGCCACCUCUUCAUCGUCCAGUACAAUGACGGGAAUGCUGAGGUCGUCUCCAUGUGGGUCUGCCGGAUGUUAGAGGAGAGGCGUUCACA